GGCGAUGACGGGGGCGGUGCGAGGCUCCCCUCAGCGUCUGGGCCCGGCAGCUCUGCGCGUCCCCGCGGGGGCCGGGCGGGGGAUCUGGCAUCGUUAGGGGCACACGGGGCGGCAGGGGCGGGGGCCCAGUGCGUUUUGGGGUUCCCGUAGCGGUAGGGCUGUUGCCCCGGCAGCCCUCUGGGGUCCCCACAGCUGCAGCCACAGCUCUGACAUCUGGUUAGGGGCAGAAGGCCCGGCAGCUCAGGAGCAGAUCCUCCCGCCUCAUGGGGCUGGUGGCAGCGCUGCUGUAGGCCUCAGUUAGAAAUCCCUGCUGCUGUAAAAGGAGGACUGGGGGCCUUCACACUAUAAAGAGAUCCCUGUGGCUAUAGACACAGCCCAGAAGCCACAACAAGCAGGUGGGUAGCUUAAAGAUUCCCCUCAGGACCAAGAGAUCUCAAUUCAGGGCUCAGAGACCACUGGAAGGUUCAGAUUUAUUUCAGACAUCCCAUUGCCAAAGUGUAGGACGGGGCUGCCUGCAGGUUCUUGUGCCGCACAGCCAGGCCACAAACCGUGCAGGACUGCGGGAGCCUACAGGAGACCUUCACACGUGGUGCUCUGCUUGCAGCUGGGGACGAGGGACGAGCACUUCAGCCUGCUGCUGGGAGCCGUGCCCACCAGGUAUGUGACAUCCCUAAGCCAUCUUACA
rnacentral:lncRNA from 1 species